AGAGUUUGAUCCUGGCUCAGGACGAACGCUGGCGGCGUGCCUAAUACAUGCAAGUCGAGCGAAGUUUUUCUGGUGCUUGCACUAGAAAAACUUAGCGGCGAACGGGUGAGUAACACGUAAAGAACCUGCCUCAUAGACUGGGACAACUAUUGGAAACGAUAGCUAAUACCGGAUAACAGCAUUAACUGCAUGGUUGAUGUUUAAAAGUUGGUUUUGCUAACACUAUGAGAUGGCUUUGCGGUGCAUUAGCUAGUUGGUGGGGUAAAGGCCUACCAAGGCGACGAUGCAUAGCCGACCUGAGAGGGUGAUCGGCCACACUGGGACUGAGACACGGCCCAGACUCCUACGGGAGGCAGCAGUAGGGAAUCUUCCGCAAUGGGCGAAAGCCUGACGGAGCAACGCCGCGUGAGUGAAGAAGGAUUUCGGUUCGUAAAGCUCUGUUGUUAGGGAAGAAUGAUUGUGUAGUAACUAUACACAGUAGAGACGGUACCUAACCAGAAAGCCACGGCUAACUACGUGCCAGCAGCCGCGGUAAUACGUAGGUGGCAAGCGUUGUCCGGAAUUAUUGGGCGUAAAGCGCGCGCAGGUGGUUUAAUAAGUCUGAUGUGAAAGCCCACGGCUCAACCGUGGAGGGUCAUUGGAAACUGUUAAACUUGAGUGCAGGAGAGAAAAGUGGAAUUCCUAGUGUAGCGGUGAAAUGCGUAGAGAUUAGGAGGAACACCAGUGGCGAAGGCGGCUUUUUGGCCUGUAACUGACACUGAGGCGCGAAAGCGUGGGGAGCAAACAGGAUUAGAUACCCUGGUAGUCCACGCCGUAAACGAUGAGUGCUAAGUGUUGGAGGGUUUCCGCCCUUCAGUGCUGCAGUUAACGCAUUAAGCACUCCGCCUGGGGAGUACGACCGCAAGGUUGAAACUCAAAGGAAUUGACG
rnacentral:rRNA from 1 species